AGCGAACGCUGGCGGCAGGCCUAACACAUGCAAGUCGAACGAACUCUUCGGAGUUAGUGGCGGACGGGUGAGUAACACGUGGGAACGUGCCUUUUGGUUCGGAAUAACUCAGGGAAACUUGUGCUAAUACCGAAUGUGCCCUUCGGGGGAAAGAUUUAUCGCCAUUAGAGCGGCCCGCGUCUGAUUAGCUAGUUGGUGAGGUAACGGCUCACCAAGGCGACGAUCAGUAGCUGGUCUGAGAGGAUGACCAGCCACACUGGGACUGAGACACGGCCCAGACUCCUACGGGAAGCAGCAGUGGGGAAUCUUGCGCAAUGGGCGAAAGCCUGACGCAGCCAUGCCGCGUGAAUGAUGAAGGUCUUAGGAUUGUAAAAUUCUUUCACCGGGGACGAUAAUGACGGUACCCGGAGAAGAAGCCCCGGCCAACUUCGUG
rnacentral:rRNA from 1 species